rnacentral:rRNA from 1 species
GCACAGUGACCGCCGUUCCCGUGGACUCUCGUACCACAGUAUUGGGACAGACGCAGGAGGGCUUGACUUCCGGGUUCGGGAUGAGACCGGGUAAACUCCACCGCUAUGACCGUGCACCCAUCUCCUUUCGAAUCGGAUAUGGACGCGAC